UAUAGAAGUAGAGGUUGCGGAUUUUAUCAGUAAAGUAUUUGACGAUGUCAGGUUUCGGGAGACAAUAUUUGAAAGGAACAUCCGCCGAAGGAAUAGAUUACCUGUCUUUUUUAUUCCUGGGCAAUGGGUGAAGAACCCCUUGACUGUCACCGUUGGUGGAGUGCUACGUACUAA
rnacentral:ncRNA from 2 species